AUUAGACGAAUCAUCUGGAAAGAUGAAUCAAAGAAGGUAAUAAUCCUGUAGUCGAAAAUGUUGUCUCUCUUGAGUGGAUCCUGAGUACGACGGAGCACGUGAAAUUCCGUCGGAAUCUGGGAGGACCAUCUCCUAAGGCUAAAUACUCUCUAGUGACCGAUAGUGAACCAGUACCGUGAGGGAAAGGUGAAAAGCACCCCGGAAGGGGAGUGAAAUAGAACCUGAAACCGUGUGCUUACAAGUAGUCAGAGCCCGUUAAUGGGUGAUGGCGUGCCUUUUGUAGAAUGAACCGGCGAGUUACGAUUUGAUGCAAGGUUAAGCAGUAAAUGUGGAGCCGUAGCGAAAGCGAGUCUGAAUAGGGCGUUUAGUAUUUGGUCGUAGACCCGAAACCAGGUGAUCUACCCUUGGUCAGGUUGAAGUUCAGGUAACACUGAAUGGAGGACCGAACCGACUUACGUUGAAAAGUGAGCGGAUGAACUGAGGGUAGCGGAGAAAUUCCAAUCGAACCUGGAGAUAGCUGGUUCUCUCCGAAAUAGCUUUAGGGCUAGCCUCAAGUGAUGAUUAUUGGAGGUAGAGCACUGUUUGGACGAGGGGCCCCUCUCGGGUUACCGAAUUCAGACAAACUCCGAAUGCCAAUUAAUUUAACUUGGGAGUCAGAACAUGGGUGAUAAGGUCCGUGUUCGAAAGGGAAACAGCCCAGACCACCAGCUAAGGUCCCAAAAUAUAUGUUAAGUGGAAAAGGAUGUGGCGUUGCCCAGACAACUAGGAUGUUGGCUUAGAAGCAGCCAUCAUUUAAAGAGUGCGUAAUAGCUCACUAGUCGAGUGACACUGCGCCGAAAAUGUACCGGGGCUAAACAUAUUACCGAAGCUGUGGAUUGUCCUUUGGACAAUGGUAGGAGAGCGUUCUAAGGGCGUUGAAGCAUGAUCGUAAGGACAUGUGGAGCGCUUAGAAGUGAGAAUGCCGGUGUGAGUAGCGAAAGACGGGUGAGAAUCCCGUCCACCGAUUGACUAAGGUUUCCAGAGGAAGGCUCGUCCGCUCUGGGUUAGUCGGGUCCUAAGCUGAGGCCGACAGGCGUAGGCGAUGGAUAACAGGUUGAUAUUCCUGUACCACCUAUAAUCGUUUUAAUCGAUGGGGGGACGCAGUAGGAUAGGCGAAGCGUGCGAUUGGAUUGCACGUCUAAGCAGUAAGGCUGAGUAUUAGGCAAAUCCGGUACUCGUUAAGGCUGAGCUGUGAUGGGGAGAAGACAUUGAGUCUUCGAGUCGUUGAUUUCACACUGCCGAGAAAAGCCUCUAGAUAGAAAAUAGGUGCCCGUACCGCAAACCGACACAGGUAGUCAAGAUGAGAAUUCUAAGGUGAGCGAGCGAACUCUCGUUAAGGAACUCGGCAAAAUGACCCCGUAACUUCGGGAGAAGGGGUGCUCUUUAGGGUUAACGCCCAGAAGAGCCGCAGUGAAUAGGCCCAAGCGACUGUUUAUCAAAAACACAGGUCUCUGCUAAACCGUAAGGUGAUGUAUAGGGGCUGACGCCUGCCCGGUGCUGGAAGGUUAAGAGGAGUGGUUAGCUUCUGCGAAGCUACGAAUCGAAGCCCCAGUAAACGGCGGCCGUAACUAUAACGGUCCUAAGGUAGCGAAAUUCCUUGUCGGGUAAGUUCCGACCCGCACGAAAGGCGUAACGAUUUGGGCACUGUCUCAACGAGAGACUCGGUGAAAUCAUAGUACCUGUGAAGAUGCAGGUUACCCGCGACAGGACGGAAAGACCCCGUGGAGCUUUACUGUAGCCUGAUAUUGAAAUUCGGCACAGCUUGUACAGGAUAGGUAGGAGCCUUUGAAACGUGAGCGCUAGCUUACGUGGAGGCGCUGGUGGGAUACUACCCUAGCUGUGUUGGCUUUCUAACCCGCACCACUUAUCGUGGUGGGAGACAGUGUCAGGCGGGCAGUUUGACUGGGGCGGUCGCCUCCUAAAAGGUAACGGAGGCGCUCAAAGGUUCCCUCAGAAUGGUUGGAAAUCAUUCAUAGAGUGUAAAGGCAUAAGGGAGCUUGACUGCGAGACCUACAAGUCGAGCAGGGUCGAAAGACGGACUUAGUGAUCCGGUGGUUCCGCAUGGAAGGGCCAUCGCUCAACGGAUAAAAGCUACCCCGGGGAUAACAGGCUUAUCUCCCCCAAGAGUUCACAUCGACGGGGAGGUUUGGCACCUCGAUGUCGGCUCAUCGCAUCCUGGGGCUGUAGUCGGUCCCAAGGGUUGGGCUGUUCGCCCAUUAAAGCGGUACGCGAGCUGGGUUCAGAACGUCGUGAGACAGUUCGGUCCCUAUCCGUCGUGGGCGUAGGAAAUUUGAGAGGAGCUGUCCUUAGUACGAGAGGACCGGGAUGGACAUACCUCUGGUGUACCAGUUGUCGUGCCAACGGCAUAGCUGGGUAGCUAUGUGUGGACGGGAUAAGUGCUGAAAGCAUCUAAGCAUGAAGCCCCCCUCAAGAUGAGAUUUCCCAACUUCGGUUAUAAGAUCCCUCAAAGAUGAUGAGGUUAAUAGGUUCGAGGUGGAAGCAUGGUGACAUGUGGAGCUGACGAAUACUAAUCGAUCGAAGACUUAAUCAA
rnacentral:rRNA from 1 species